AAGUCGUAACAAGGUUUCCGUAGGUGAACCUGCGGAAGGAUCAAACGUUAAAACAACCCCGUGAACGUUCAGCUUGCUCCUGUAGCCCGUGAAAGCAAUCAUUGUUGAACCAGCUUUUGAGUCAGGGACCUCUGCAGAUUGUGAUAUUUUAUAGACGGUUGAGCGAUUGCAUCUAGUGACCUGGCAUCCCCAAGUAAUCAGUGUUCUGAAAGUGUCAUUGAUUGUGUAUGGCGCAGUCGGUCGGCGACCGGGUCGCCGCUCUGCUCCUUUACGACAACUACAGUCUAACUUUCGCCGCGCGAAAUUCGACUCGCACGGCACCAAAAACCGAACAACUGUUAACAAUGGAUAUCUUGGUUCUC
rnacentral:misc_RNA from 1 species